rnacentral:rRNA from 2 species
ACAUGCAAGUCGAACGGAAAGGCCCUUCGGGGUACUCGAGUGGCGAACGGGUGAGUAACACGUGGGUGAUCUGCCCUGCACUUUGGGAUAAGCCUGGGAAACUGGGUCUAAUACCGGAUAGGACCACGCGCUUCAUGGUGUGUGGUGGAAAGCUUUUGCGGUGUGGGAUGGGCCCGCGGCCUAUCAGCUUGUUGGUGGGGUAAUGGCCUACCAAGGCGACGACGGGUAGCCGGCCUGAGAGGGUGACCGGCCACACUGGGACUGAGAUACGGCCCAGACUCCUACGGGAGGCAGCAGUGGGGAAUAUUGCACAAUGGGCGCAAGCCUGAUGCAGCGACGCCGCGUGAGGGAUGACGGCCUUCGGGUUGUAAACCUCUUUCAAUAGGGACGAAGCGCAAGUGACGGUACCUAUAGAAGAAGGACCGGCCAACUACGUGCCAGCAGCCGCGGUAAUACGUAGGGUCCGAGCGUUGUCCGGAAUUACUGGGCGUAAAGAGCUCGUAGGUGGUUUGUCGCGUUGUUCGUGAAAACUCACAGCUUAACUGUGGGCGUGCGGGCGAUACGGGCAGACUAGAGUACUGCAGGGGAGACUGGAAUUCCUGGUGUAGCGGUGGAAUGCGCAGAUAUCAGGAGGAACACCGGUGGCGAAGGCGGGUCUCUGGGCAGUAACUGACGCUGAGGAGCGAAAGCGUGGGGAGCGAACAGGAUUAGAUACCCUGGUAGUCCACGCCGUAAACGGUGGGUACUAGGUGUGGGUUUCCUUCCUUGGGAUCCGUGCCGUAGCUAACGCAUUAAGUACCCCGCCUGGGGAGUACGGCCGCAAGGCUAAAACUCAAAGGAAUUGACGGGGGCCCGCACAAGCGGCGGAGCAUGUGGAUUAAUUCGAUGCAACGCGAAGAACCUUACCUGGGUUUGACAUGCACAGGACGCCAGUAGAGAUAUUGGUUCCCUUGUGGCCUGUGUGCAGGUGGUGCAUGGCUGUCGUCAGCUCGUGUCGUGAGAUGUUGGGUUAAGUCCCGCAACGAGCGCAACCCUUGUCUCAUGUUGCCAGCACGUUAUGGUGGGGACUCGUGAGAGACUGCCGGGGUCAACUCGGAGGAAGGUGGGGAUGACGUCAAGUCAUCAUGCCCCUUAUGUCCAGGGCUUCACACAUGCUACAAUGGCCGGUACAAAGGGCUGCGAUGCCGUGAGGUGGAGCGAAUCCUUUCAAAGCCGGUCUCAGUUCGGAUCGGGGUCUGCAACUCGACCCCGUGAAGUCGGAGUCGCUAGUAAUCGCAGAUCAGCAACGCUGCGGUGAAUACGUUCCCGGGCCUUGUACACACCGCCCGUCACGUCAUGAAAGUCGGUAACACCCGAAGCCGGUGGCCUAACCCUUGUGGAGGGAGCCGUCGAA